UACGAAGGGGACUAGCGUUGUUCGGAAUCACUGGGCGUAAAGCGCACGUAGGCGGAUUCGUAAGUCAGGGGUGAAAUCCCGGGGCUCAACCUCGGAACUGCCUUUGAUACUGCGGGUCUUGAGUCCGAUAGAGGUGGGUGGAAUUCCUAGUGUAGAGGUGAAAUUCGUAGAUAUUAGGAAGAACACCGGUGGCGAAGGCGGCCCACUGGAUCGGUACUGACGCUGAGGUGCGAACGCGUGGGGAGCAAACAGG
rnacentral:rRNA from 1 species